AGAGUUUGAUCAUGGCUCAGGAUGAACGCUAGCGGCAGGCUUAACACAUGCAAGUCGAGGGGUAUAGUAGCAAUACUAGAGACCGGCGCACGGGUGCGUAACGCGUAUGCAAUCUACCUUUUGCAGAGGGAUAGCCCAGAGAAAUUUGGAUUAAUACCUCAUAGUAUAUAGAGUUGGCAUCAACAUUAUAUUAAAGUCACAACGGCAAAAGAUGAGCAUGCGUCCCAUUAGCUAGUUGGUAAGGUAACGGCUUACCAAGGCAACGAUGGGUAGGGGUCCUGAGAGGGAGAUCCCCCACACUGGUACUGAGACACGGACCAGACUCCUAUGGGAGGCAGCAGUGAGGAAUAUUGGACAAUGGGCGCAAGCCUGAUCCAGCCAUGCCGCGUGCAGGAUGACGGUCCUAUGGAUUGUAAACUGCUUUUAUACGAGAAGAAACAUCCCGACGUGUCGGGACUUGACGGUAUCGUAAGAAUAAGGAUCGGCUAACUCCGUGCCAGCAGCCGCGGUAAUACGGAGGGAUCCAAGCGUUAUCCGGAAUCCUUGGGUUUAAAGGGUCC
rnacentral:rRNA from 1 species